rnacentral:rRNA from 1 species
GAUGAACGCUGGCGGCGUGCCUAACACAUGCAAGUCGAACGGAAAGACGAUGAGCUUGUGCCUUUGACGAUAGCGGAGGACGGGAGAGUAACGCGUGGAUCAUCUACUUAUAUUUCUGGGAUAAUUACGGAAAACCGGAGAUAAUACCGGAGAAUAUACUGAACCGCAGGGGUCAAUGGAGAAUGACGGCUUUGGUGUCUGUAAUAGAUGGUUACGAGCUGGAUUGGCUAGUUGGUAGGGUAACGGCCUACCAGGGCGACGAUGCGUAGCCGAGCUGAGAGGGUGAUCGGCCACACUGGAACUGAGACACGGUCCAGACUCCUACGGGAGGCAGCAGUAGGGAAUGUUGGGCAAUGGGCGGAAGCCUGACACAGCGACGCCGCGUGAGUGAUGAAGGCCUUCGGUUCGUAAAGCCCUGUUGUUGGGGAAGAACAGCUGUGGAAGUAGCCGAAGCCGUCUUGACGGUACCUAAUCAAGAAGCACCGGCUAACUACGUG